AACACAUAGCUUCAUUCCCAAGCUCACUAGCUGGGGAUUCUUUGAAACUUCAGUUGCACAUCACUCAGAGCAAUGUGACCUCCAGGAAAACUCAGGCUUGGAACUCUUCGAGGAGGGUACCAAAGUCAUAGCUAAACUGAUAAAUAUACAGAAUUUUUGAUAAGAGCAAGAGAUGACUUGAAACAUACAGCAAACAGUAUGAAGGAUGAUUGAAGGAACUAGAGUUUAUUCAAGACAGAUAUGAUAAUCACCAAGAAUUGCAAGCUAAUAAAUCAGUCUGCCACAGUUUCAAGGAUAUUGGCAUAGACACAAGACUCCUGGGUCAGAGACAUUGGAUAGUUUAUUACUCACAGUGAUACAGUACUCACAGUAUCAGUAUUUUCUUAUGCCACUUCCUUAAGCCCUAGUUCCCAUUGAGCAGCUCAAGGAGGGCCAGGUAAAGCUUUCACACAUAGUGGAUUGAUUUAUAGGGGAGAGAUCUUGAGGUUAGGAAACUUCGGUCUUUUAUAAUGGGCUGCAGGUCAACUGGCCUAACCAUCUUCCAGAAAGAAGUGAGAUACUAUCGCUAAAUCUUUUCAAAAAGGGCAAACUAGCAUUAGAGUCUUUGCUGGAGACAUGAAGAAACAGGAGAGGCUCCUAAGAACUGGCUUUCGACAAUGACUACAAGUUGAGAGUUGUCAUAAUAAAGAGUACUAGAAAUCUCUUGCUCCUAAAUGAUAAAUCAGGACAAAUUGGUGAAAACUGUGGAAAGAAAAAUUUCUGACAGAUAAAGACAUUUAUAAAAAACAAAGCAAGUAUAAAGUGGGAUGGACACCCGAACAAGUUAGACAUGUACAGGAAGAAACUGGACGGCCAUUUUUGGUUGACCAUCAAGGAAAAUAUUCAUAUACCAAGAAGUACUGAGUUUAAUGGUAGUUAAGCCUCUUCUUGAGCUCUGAUUAUCAGAGAACAGAGGAGAGAAAGAACAAAAAGAAAGUAGUUUUCCAUUUAUACAUGCAACAUAUGUUCCGGGAUAUGCCAUUAGAUACCUAAAACCUCAGAUAAUACUAAACCUUAUAUAUCCUAUGGUUUUUCCUGUACGUACAUAUCUGCGGUAAGGUUUAAUUAUAACACACGUACAGUAAGAGAUUGCAAACAGUAAUUCAUAAUGAAACAAAAUGAUUAUGACUAUACACUGCAAGGAAAGUUAUGUGAAUAUGGUCCCUGUUUCUGGAAUUUUCUAUUUCAUAUUCUUAUACUAUGAUGGAUUGUGGGUAACAGACUGCAGAAAAGGAAGCCACAGCUAAGGAGGGAGCCCUGCAACAAAGAAAAAAGUCAGGAUGGAAAUGGAUUGAAUGCACUUGCAAACCACAGGGGCUUCCUUGUACUGUGUGUCUUCCUCAGCUCUGUGUCCUAAGAGGAGUUAGGCAUCUCCGCCAAGUCACAGAGAGGGCGGUAUGGUCGUGGCUAUGAUCUCCCUUGUUAGCCCUCUUUGGUAAAGAAAAACGGCUUCUUCUUUGGAAACGAAGAAACUUGAAACUUUACCCCAGACUGAUUGUCCUUAUUUUGAGAAACAGAAGCUUUGCUAAAGAAUCCUCUACCAUCUAACUGCAAAUACUCCAAUUUCCCAGACACUUCAACUGAAGCUUCAGAAUAUUCUAAAAGAGAAUAUAUCACCUAUGUAUUUUUUUUUUUUAGAAAUAAUACACAUUUUACUCCCUGACACACCCUACAACCAAAAGAUACUAUUUGAGAUUAUUUUACCUCUCAUGUCAAUUAGCAGGUAGAUAUAGUUUCAUCCAUAGAUUUAUUAACUUACCAGUUUGAAUUCAUGUACUCAUCACCUGGGUAAGAUGAUACAACUCUACAACCACUGGUUGGCAAAUGACUGCGAUCUUACAGUACGACCAAUUUCUCUGUUUCUUUAUGUGUAAAGUGAGUCAGUUGACAUAGAUGACAGCAGUGUUUCUUUCCAGCGUUUCAACCUCUAAAGAACCCAUGAAAAAAUGUUUUCCUAGAAGCUACUAUAAGCCUGGUGCUCUAGGGCUGGAUAAUUCAGAGCUUGGAAGAGAAUUAUGGUAGACAUCUCUUUUGAAAGAUGUUUUAAAGGAGACCCUCUUACUCUAAAACAAAGUGUAGAAAUAUCAAUCAGAAUAUUUGGAAAGGGAUCUAAGAAGUUCUUGUAGACAAAACAUGAGAAGUCAUUUGUAACCAAAAAUAGGAUGAAAGUUCUACUCUGUAAUAAAUUCAGCAGAGCAUGAAAGAAAAAAAGAAAGAAAGAAAGAAUGAAAGAAAGAAAGAAAAAAAGAAAGAAAGGAGCAAGCCUGGGAAGGGACCAGAUUGGCCAAAGUGUUGAACCUGAGCUCAUCAGACAGCAAGCUACAGCAUGGGGGGCUCUCAGCUGCAGAGUACACAUCUGAUUGGAAACAGUUCAUUUCUACUUUUCAGAAAGAGGUGGUGCAAACAAAGCUGAAAGAAGUCAUUUUUUUCUAUCUCCAAACAAGCAAAAAAUCUCUUCUGGCAUGGACCAGUUUGAUCCUGGAUUGCGUGCAUUUGGAUAAUGAUUUGGGCACUUAUUUUUGAAGAUCAUGACUCUACUUUGCAACUUUGUGAUUAAUCAAUAAAUGACUUGGAAGACUCAUCUCACAAA